GCGAAGGGCAGAAGCCGCGCGACUGCAAUGGCGGCGGGCAGCGGCACCCGGGGAACGCGCACGGGCCGCCGCAGCCGCACCGGGCGGGACUGAGGCGGACGGGACGGGACGGGACGGCUGCAGCGUCCCUGCGACCGCCACGGAGCGUGGCAGGCGCCCGGUGAUGACGCACAAACCCGGCAGCCGCAGCGGGGCGGGUUUUUCCCCAGUGCGCAGACGAGGCACGGACACGGCCAAGCGGGGACCGGUGCGAGAACGGGACCGGGGCAGCGCCGGUGUCCGUCACGGGCACAGCGAGCGUUUCUGUUAUGAAUAAGAAGGUUGACUAGGCCAAUAUUCAAGCAGCAAUCAAUUUAUUAUUUAAUAUGAAAGCCUCGUAUAUCUAUGGGGUGGAAUUUUGCGGACCAAGCAAUUCUAGCGAGCCCCUGAAGAAAUGGCAUAUGACAGCAGUCCUGCAAUCAGAGAUGCUGCAGUAGAAUUUUGUUUAAUUCUCCGGGCUCUUGAGAGAGCUCCCUACUCCCCAUGGCAGAAGCUGCGAGAUCGAUUCCGCAGUGCAUGGAGGAAACGGCCUCGUCU